UCAGCACACACUCUUCAUUCUGAGUCCAUAAAGGGCCCCAGUCCCAGCCACAAAGAGUGUCUGCACACCUAAUUCUUCCUGGUUGUGAGACAAGAACUCAGACCUAUCUGAGCUAAGGGGAAGAAAGACUGCAACAGUGUUGGGCCUGUGGAUGCACAGAAGUCAAGAAUUGAAGAUUGGAAACCUCCACCUAGAUUUCAGAGGACGUAUGGAAAUGCCUGGAUGUCUAGGCAGAAGUCUGCUGCAGGGGUAGAGCCCUCAUGGAGAGCCUCUACUAGGGCAGUGUGGAAAGAAAAGGUGGGGUUGGAGACUCCACACAGAGUCCCCACUGGUGCACUGCCUAGUGGAGCUGUGAGAAAGGGCCACCAUUCUCCAGACCUCAGAAUGGUAGAUCCAAUGACAACUUGCACCAUGCAUCAGGAGAAGCCACAAGCUCUCAUUAUCAGCCUGUGAAGGAGCUGCCCAAGGCCAUGGGAGCCCACCUCUCCCAUCAGCAUGCCCCCGAUAUGAGACAUGGUGCCAAAGGAGAUUAUUUCAGAGAUUUAAGAUUUAAUGAGUGCCCCACUGGAUUUUGGACUUGUGCAGGGCCUAUAGCCCCUUUGUUUUGGCCAAUUUCUGUCAUUUGGAAUGGGAGCAUUUACCCAAUGCCUGUAUUCCUAUUGUAUGUAGGAAGGAACUAACUUGUUUUUGAUUUUACAGGCUUAUAGGCAGAAGGGACUUGCCUUUUCUCAGAUGAGACUUUGGAUUAUGGACUUUGAGUUAAUGCUGAAAUCAUUUAAGAUUUUGGGGGACUGUAUGAUUGGUUUGGAAAUGUAAAAAUACAUGAGAUUUGGGUGGGGCUGGGGCAGAAUGAUAGGGUUUGGCUCUGUGUCCCCACCCAAAACUUAUCUCUAAUUGUAAUUCUCAUGUGUUGAGGGAGGGUACUAUAAUCUCCACAUGUUUAGAGAGGGAGGUGAUUGGAUCCUGGGGGUAGUUUCCCCCAUGCUGUUCUCAUGAUAGUGAGUGAGUUCUCAUGAGAUCUGAUGGUUUUAAAAAUGUUUCGAAGUUCCUCCUUUUCUCUUCUCUCUCUUGCUGCACUGUGAAGAAGGUGCUUGUUUCCCCUUUGCCUUAUGCCAUCAUUGUAAGUUUCCUGAGGCCUCCCUAGCUAUGUGGAACUGUAGUCAAUUAAACCUAUUUCCUUUAUAAAUUA